UGGCCUGGCUUCCUCCCGCGUCAGCCGGGGCCAGCGCAGGCGCAGUCGCAGUGGUUAGUAACGGUUGCUCCAGCCGGCGUGCGGGUGAGGUGGCGGGCGACGGCCCCGUGCGCCGCUUCCUGGGUCUUAGGUGCGUUGCUCUCCAGGGUCACAAUACGGCCGGAAGGACAGCGGGCGGGCCGAGGGUGAAAAAAGAGCGAACUCACGUGGAUCUAGUUCCAGUACUCCGAUUUCUCUAGAAAUCCACAGCAACACUUGAACCGCUGAACAAAUACAGUCUGGAUUCCUGAGACCAAAGGGCUCGGGAAAAUCGCUGAAAACCCGCUAUACUGGAACAGCUGCUCUCUGCCAGAACAUCAAUCAAAGGGCAGCUUACUGGAACCUUGAAGACCACCUAAGGAGCUACUUCCCCUGUUUUAAGAUAAACUGAAGCCCAGAAGUGUAUUGUGGAAGCUGGAGUCAGAGUUUGACUCCUGAUCCUCUCACUGAAUGUGUGGAGGCCCCCCAAAAUCUCAUGUUCCUGGGAGAAGUUAGCUGACUUUUCAAUUUUUCUUAGUGCUGGAAAGUCAUCCGUGGAGGAUGAAGUCAUCCAAGACAGCUGGUAAAACACACAGUGUCACCAUACCAGGAAUUCAUGACUACGUCCUUGAUUGGAUCAAAGUAAAAUAAUAUAAAAUUAAUCAAGUUACUAGUCUUUUUUUUUUCUUGAUAAUUUUUCCUACCCUGGCAGUUAUGGCUGUGGGGGAAAAAAAAAGCUACGCAUCAGCAUCAAAUAGGUCUUUUAAAGAUGUCAUUUUCUCACCUAGAUGAUGAUUAUAUGAAUGAUCACUGAGGAAUACUUUGAAUGUUUCAUGUUUGAAUUUUUUUUUUAAGAUUUUAAAUAAUCUCUAGAUUUUAAGUCACCCUAGGGCCACCUGGGUGGUUCAG